UGGGGAAUUUUGGACAAUGGGGGAAACCCUGAUCCAGCCAUCCCGCGUGUGCGAUGAAGGCCUUCGGGUUGUAAAGCACUUUUGGCAGGAAAGAAACGUCAUGGGUUAAUACCCCGUGAAACUGACGGUACCUGCAGAAUAAGCACCGGCUACCUACGUGCCAGCAGCCGCGGUAAUACGUAGGGUGCAAGCGUUAAUCGGAAUUACUGGGCGUAAAGCGUGCGCAGGCGGUUCGGAAAGAAAGAUGUGAAAUCCCAGAGCUCAACUUUGGAACUGCAUUUUUAACUACCGGGCUAGAGUGUGUCAGAGGGAGGUGGAAUUCCGCGUGUAGCAGUGAAAUGCGUAGAUAUGCGGAGGAACACCGAUGGCGAAGGCAGCCUCCUGGGAUAACACUGACGCUCAUGCACGAAAGCGUGGGGAGCAAACAGG
rnacentral:rRNA from 1 species